GAGGAAUGAGGAAAAUAUCUGAUCAGUCUGAUAUACCACUGAAGACUGUAAGAUCCAACUCUGACCUAAAACUUGCC
rnacentral:snoRNA from 13 species